rnacentral:tRNA from 4 species
GCCCCCAUAGCCCAAUUGGCAGAGGCAGGAGACUUAAAAUCUCUGUGUUGUGGGUUCGAGUCCCACUGGGGGUA